ACGAACGCNGGCGGCGUGCCUAAUACAUGCAAGUCGAACGAACUCUGGUAUUGAUUGGUGCUUGCAUCAUGAUUUACAUUUGAGUGAGUGGCGAACUGGUGAGUAACACGUGGGAAACCUGCCCAGAAGCGGGGGAUAACACCUGGAAACAGAUGCUAAUACCGCAUAACAACUUGGACCGCAUGGUCCGAGUUUGAAAGAUGGCUUCGGCUAUCACUUUUGGAUGGUCCCGCGGCGUAUUAGCUAGAUGGUGGGGUAACGGCUCACCAUGGCAAUGAUACGUAGCCGACCUGAGAGGGUAAUCGGCCACAUUGGGACUGAGACACGGCCCAAACUCCUACGGGAGGCAGCAGUAGGGAAUCUUCCACAAUGGACGAAAGUCUGAUGGAGCAACGCCGCGUGAGUGAAGAAGGGUUUCGGCUCGUAAAACUCUGUUGUUAAAGAAGAACAUAUCUGAGAGUAACUGUUCAGGUAUUGACGGUAUUUAACCAGAAAGCCACGGCUAACUACGUGCCAGCAGCCGCGGUAAUACGUAGGUGGCAAGCGUUGUCCGGAUUUAUUGGGCGUAAAGCGAGCGCAGGCGGUUUUUUAAGUCUGAUGUGAAAGCCUUCGGCUCAACCGAAGAAGUGCAUCGGAAACUGGGAAACUUGAGUGCAGAAGAGGACAGUGGAACUCCAUGUGUAGCGGUGAAAUGCGUAGAUAUAUGGAAGAACACCAGUGGCGAAGGCGGCUGUCUGGUCUGUAACUGACGCUGAGGCUCGAAAGUAUGGGUAGCAAACAGGAUUAGAUACCCUGGUAGUCCAUACCGUAAACGAUGAAUGCUAAGUGUUGGAGGGUUUCCGCCCUUCAGUGCUGCAGCUAACGCAUUAAGCAUUCCGCCUGGGGAGUACGGCCGCAAGGCUGAAACUCAAAGGAAUUGACGGGGGCCCGCACAAGCGGUGGAGCAUGUGGUUUAAUUCGAAGCUACGCGAAGAACCUUACCAGGUCUUGACAUACUAUGCAAAUCUAAGAGAUUAGACGUUCCCUUCGGGGACAUGGAUACAGGUGGUGCAUGGUUGUCGUCAGCUCGUGUCGUGAGAUGUUGGGUUAAGUCCCGCAACGAGCGCAACCCUUAUUAUCAGUUGCCAGCAUUAAGUUGGGCACUCUGGUGAGACUGCCGGUGACAAACCGGAGGAAGGUGGGGGAUGACGUCAAAUCAUCAUGCCCCUUAUGACCUGGGCUACACACGUGCUACAAUGGAUGGUACAACGAGUUGCGAACUCGCGAGAGUAAGCUAAUCUCUUAAAGCCAUUCUCAGUUCGGAUUGUAGGCUGCAACUCGCCUACAUGAAGUCGGAAUCGCUAGUAAUCGCGGAUCAGCAUGCCGCGGGUGAAUACGUUUCCCGGGGCCUUGUACACACCGCCCGGUCACACCAUGAAGAGUUUGUAACACCCAAAGUCGGUGGGGGUAACCUUUUUAGGAACCAGCCGCCCUAAGGUGGGGACAGAUGAUUAGGGUG
rnacentral:rRNA from 2 species